rnacentral:lncRNA from 1 species
CUGGACUUUGGGGCCUCCAGCUGUCUUUCUGUUCUCUGCUUCCUUCCAGGAGCAUAAGUGAUUGGAUGCCAAUAGUGAGGUAGAUGUGUCCAGCUUGGAAAACCUCAGUGUUUGAGAAAACCCCAAAGGAACUGAGAAUAUUCAGCCUAGAAGAGAGAAAACUUCAGGAAAAUGGGAUCCCUGCCGUUAAUGUUUUAAAAGACUUAAUGGAAAGUGUUGGAUUCGAUUUCAGCAGACUUGGACUAUAAUCCUGGAUCUUUGAGCAAGACACAAAAUUAUAG